AGCGAACGCUGGCGGCGUGCUUAACACAUGCAAGUCGAACGUGAAAGGGCAGCAAUGCCUGAGUAAAGUGGCGUACGGGUGAGUAACACGUAGGUAAUCUACCUUAGAGUUCGGAAUAACCUGCCGAAAGGCGGGCUAAUACUGGAUAGAGCGACGGAAGCCGUAAUUGGUUUUUUCGGGAAAGGGAGCUUGAUAAGAGCCCUCGCUUUAAGAUGAGCCUGCGUCUGAUUAGCUAGUAGGUGGGGUAACGGCUCACCUAGGCGAUGAUCAGUAGCUGGUCUGAGAGGAUGAUCAGCCACACUGGAACUGAAACACGGUCCAGACUCCUACGGGAGGCAGCAGUGGGGGAUCUUGCGCAAUGGACGAAAGUCUGACGCAGCCACGCCGCGUGAGUGAAGAAGGCCUUCGGGUUGUAAAGCUCUGUCGGGCGGGACGAAAAGCAGAACAGUUAAGAGCUGGUCUGUCUGACGGUACCGCCAAAGGAAGCACCGGCUAACUUCGUGCCAGCAGCCGCGGUAA
rnacentral:rRNA from 1 species